AAAUCUCUCUCUUUACUAAACCCUAUCAGUAACGGAAAUCUCCACUUAUUCCAGUACCACAAAAAACUUAAUUAUCUAAUCAUAAACCGCAAGGAAACAUCCUAUUAUAAAAAAGAAGUUCUUAACAACCGUCCCUUUUGCAUCAUGGAAAAGCAAGAAAAUCCCAACAAUUUUGGUUUCCCGAAAAGAUGUGAGCUACCUUUAUUAAAACUACUCAAGUGUGACAUAACUUGCUAAAAGGUAAAGGUAGAAGUGAAAUGCCUCCCGCACAUUUUGACACCUGGUUUUCCUUGAAACGCACUUAAGUGCUAUUCUGUGCAAACUCUAAACAAUUAAUGAACUCCACAGACUACACCUAAAAGGGGAUAAGCUCUUUUAGGAAAGAGAAGUUCUUGAAGCAAAAACCCUUAUAGUAGGCUUAAAAUCAGCCAUCUAACCUCGUUAUAGAAAAAAGCUUUCGACCAAAUUAAUUCAAUUUAAUUACUCUAAAUACUAAAGGAACCUAGCACCUAAUUUACUAAUGUUAAUGAACCGGCUUUUAUUAGUAUAAAAAUCACAAAUUUGGUUGUAUAAUCCAGAAACAACCCAUAAUCAAAAUAAAUAAAUAUAAACCAUACUUAAAGAACUCGGCAAAUCUCUACCCCGCCUGUUUACCAAAAACAUCGCUCCUCGAUACCUUUAUAAUGGGGAGUACUGCCUGCCCAAUGAAAGAAAUAUUUAAAUGGCCGCGUUAUUCUGAGCGUGCUAAGGUAGCGUAAUAAUUAGCCUCUUAAUUGGAGGCCAGUGAAAGGCAAGACGAGGGUAGAACUAUCUCAAGUUAUGUUGGUAAAAAUUUUACUCCCAGUGAAAAUUCUGGGAUAAUAGAGAAAGACGAAAAGACCCCGUGGAGCUUUAUUCUCACCAGCUUAUUUAGUAUUGAAACUUAUAAUUAAGCUAAGAAUUUGGUUGGGGCAACCGCGGAGCAAUUAAAACCUCCGUUAUCUAGCAUCAAUUAUUCAUCCUAAAUCUAGAAAAAAUGUCAGCUACCCCGGGGAUAACAGCGUAAUCCAACUUUAGAGCUCUUAUCGAAAGUUGGGCUUGCGACCUCGAUGUUGGACCAGGGAUACUGUGAGGUGCAGAAGCUUCUCAAGUCAGUCUGUUCGACUGUUAAACCCCUACGUGAUCUGAGUUAAGACCGGCGUGAGCUAGGUCGGUUUCUAUCUUCUCUUCAACUUUAAUUUCAAUAGUACGAAAGGACCUUGAAAUUCAUAUUGCCAAUGAAAAUAAAUAUCAGCACCAAAAUUUUAAC
rnacentral:rRNA from 1 species